UUCGCAAUGCCCGAAAGGGUGACGAAGCGACGCCGCGUGCGGGAAGAAGGCCUUCGGGUUGUAAACCGCUGUCGGGAGUUAAGAAAUGCAAGGGUGUUAACAGCAUCCUUGCUUGACUAUGGCUCCGGAGGAAGCCACGGCUAACUCUGUGCCAGCAGCCGCGGUAAUACAGAGGCGGCAAGCGUUGUUCGGAAUUAUUGGGCGUAAAGAGCACGUAGGCGGCUGUGUAAGUCGGUUGUGAAAGCCUUCCGCUCAACGGGAGAACGGCAUCCGAUACUGCAUGGCUUGAGUGCGGGAGGGGAGAGUGGAACUUCUGGUGGAGCGGUGAAAUGCGUAGAUAUCAGAAGGAACACCGGCGGCGAAGGCGACUCUCUGGCCCGUAACUGACGCUGAGUGUGCGAAAGCUAGGGGAGCAAACGGGAUUAGAUACCCCGGUAGUCCUAGCCGUAAACGAUGGGCACUAAGUAGAGGGGUUUU
rnacentral:rRNA from 1 species